rnacentral:rRNA from 1 species
GACCGUGCAAAGGUAGCAUAAUCAUUUGCCUUAUAAUUGAAGGCUUGUAUGAAUGGUUUGACAAGAAUAGAUCUGUCUCUUUACAAUUAAAUAUAAUUUUAUUUUCAGGUGAAGAAGCCUGAGUUAAAUUGAAAGACAAGAAGACCCUAUCGAGCUUGAAAGCAAUUAAUAAAGCCAAAAUCAUGUUAACAUUGAACAAAUUAUUAAAAAUUUUAGUUGGGGCGACAAAGGAACAAAUAAAGCUUCCUUGUAUUAUAAACACAGACAAGUAAUGAUCCAAAUAUUUUGAUUAAAGAAAUUAGUUACCGUAGGGAUAACAGCAUUAUCUUUUUUAAGAGCUCAAAUCGAAAAAAAGGUUUGUGACCUCGAUGUUGGACCAGAAUAUCCUAAAGAUGCAGCCGUCUUUAAGGGUUGGUCUGUUCGACCAUUAAAAUUCUACGUGAUCUGAGUUCAGACCGGCGUGAGCCAGGUCAGUUUCUAUCUUCAAUUUUUUAAUGUGGACUUAGUACGAAAGGAUUAGUCUAUAAUAAGAAUUAUUAUGCUUGAUGAAGUAUAAAGAAGAAUUUAGUAAAUAAAAAUUUAUAUAGAUCAAAUUAGCAAAGAUAAUGCAAUUGACUUAGGAUCAAUAGACAUAGGUGAAACUCCUUUAUUUGAUAUAUUUAUAAAGAUGGCAGAUAAA